rnacentral:rRNA from 1 species
CAUCGAUUCAGCCAUGCUAGUUGUACGGGUUUAGACCCGUAGCAAAUAGCUCCGUAACACGUGGUCAAACUACCCUCUGGACCGGAAUACCCUCGGGAAACUGAGGCUAAUUCCGGAUACUGCUUUCAUGUUGGAACACAGAAAGUCGGAAACGGUCCGCCGCCGGAGGACGUGACUGCGGCCGAUUAGGUAGACGGUGGGGUAACGGCCCACCGUGCCGAUAAUCGGUACGGGUUGUGAGAGCAAGAACCCGGAGACGGUAUCUGAGACAAGAUACCGGGCCCUACGGGGCGCAGCAGGCGCGAAACCUUUACACUGCACGCCAGUGCGAUAAGGGGACCCCGAGUGCGAGGGCAUACAGGCCUCGCGUUUCGUGACCGUAAAAAGGUCUCAGAAUAAGAGCUGGGCAAGACCGGUGCCAGCCGCCGCGGUAAUACCGUUGCC